rnacentral:lncRNA from 1 species
AUAGAUCUGAAGACCACUGGUCCUCGCUACUUCAUAUGUGGAAUCCCCGGCCAUUGUUCCACCGGUAUGAAGCUAGCAGUCACCGUCGCCUCUUCAACUAAUGUAGGUGGUGGCACCACCACGCCUACCCCUUUAACCGGAGGUGGUAGCACCACCACACCAACCCCUCUCACCGGAGGUGGUGGUUACGUUCCCGCAACCACACAGGCUAUUCCUUGUGGUGGUUGGGCCGUGUCUUCUCCAGUAUGGGUUAUGAUUGUGACUUGGGCC